rnacentral:rRNA from 1 species
GGGAAUAUUUUUAGAGGUAGUUAGGAUAGUGGCCUAUCAUGCAGUCGAGCGAUUGCAUUGGGAACCUUGUUCUCUGAGGUGAGAGCGGCGCCCGUGAGAGUAAUGUCUGGAACACUGCCUGAUGGUGGGAUACCCUACUGAAAACGGUACUCUAAUACCGAUUAUCUUCUCAAGAGCAUAGAGGGGGAUCUUCGGGCCUCUUGCCAUGUGAUGUGUGGAGAUGGCAUUAUCUAGUUAGUGGGGUAAUGGCUCACCUACUCAACGAUCCCUAGAUGGUCUGACAAGAUGACCAGCCGCAUCUGGAACUGAGACACUGACCACGACUCCUACAGUAGGCAGGAGUGGAGAAUAUUGCACAUCUGCGCGCAUGCCUGAUGCACUCAUGCCGCGUGUGUGAAGAAGGCCUUCGGGUUGUAAAGCACUUUCACUCAGUAGGAAGGUGAUAAACUUAGUACGUUCAUCAAUUGACGUUCCUCACAGAACAAUCACCGGAAUAACUCCGUGCCAUCCGCCCCGGUAAUACGGAGGGUGCAAGCGUUAAUCGCAAUUACUGGACUUAUAGCGCACGCAGGGCGUUUGUUAGGUCAUCAUGUGAAAUCCCCGGACUCCACCUGGUCACUGCAUUUAGAAACUGGCGAGCUAGAGUCUACUUAGAGGGGGGUGGAAUUCCAGGUGUAGCGGUGAAAUGCGUGGAGAUCUGAAGGAAUACCGGUGGCGAGGGCGGCCUCCUGGACGAAGACUGCCGUUCAGGUGGGAAAGCGUGGGGAGCAACCAGGAUUAGAUACCCUGGUAGUCCACCCGGUAAAGGAGGUCGAUAAGGAGGAGGUGGCCUUGAGGCGUGGCUUCUGGAGCUAACGCGUUAAAUAGUCCGCCUGGGGAGUACGGCCGCAAGGUUAAAACUCAAAUGAAUUGACGGGGGCCCGCACAAGCGGUGGAGCAUGUGGUUUAAUUCGAAGCAACGCGAAGAACCUUACCUACUCUUGACAUCCUGAGAACUUUCCAGAGAUGGAUUGGUGCCUUCGGGAACUGUGAGACAGGUGGUGCAUGGCUGUCGUCAGCUCGUGUUGUGAAAUGUUGGGUUAAGUCCCGCAACGAGCGCAACCCUUAUCCUUUGUUGCCAGCGGUUCGGCCGGCAACUCAAAGGAGACUCCCAGUGAUAAACUGGAGGAAGGUGGGGAGGACGUCAAGUCAUCAUGGCCCUUACGAGUAGGGCUCCCCACGUGCUCCAAUGGCAUAUACAAAGAGAAGAGACCUCGCGAGAGCAAGCGGACUUCAUAAAGUAUGUCGUAGUCCGGAUGGGAGUCUGCAACUCGACUCCAUGAAGUCGGAAUCGCUAGUAAUCGUAGAUCACAAUGCUGGGGAGAAUACGUUCCCGGCCCUUGCACACACCGCCCCUCACGGCAUGGGAGUGGGUCGCAAAAGAAGUAGUGAGCUUAACCUUCGGGACGGCGCUCACUAGCGUGAUCCAGUGGCCCC